CCUACGGGAGGCAGCAGUGGGGAAUAUUGCACAAUGGGGGAAACCCUGAUGCAGCGACGCCGCGUGAGUGAAGAAGUAAUUCGUUAUGUAAAGCUCUAUCAGCAGGGAAGAAAAUGACGGUACCUGAGUAAGAAGCCCCGGCUAACUACGUGCCAGCAGCCGCGGUAUUACGUAGGGGCAAAGCGUUAUCCGGAUUUCCUGGGUGUAUAGGGAGCGUAGACGGCAGUGCAGGUCAGGAGUGAAAGGCGGGGGCUUAACCCCCGGACUGCACUGGAAACUGUACGGCUGGAGUGCAGGAGAGGUAAGUGGAAUUCGUGGUGUAGGAGUGAAAUCCGGAGAUAUCUGGAGGAACAUCAGUGGCGAAGGCGACUAUCUGGCACAUAACUGACGCUGAGGAGCGAAAGCGUGGGUAGCAAACAGGAGUAGAUACCCCUGUAGUC
rnacentral:rRNA from 1 species